rnacentral:rRNA from 1 species
AUUGAACGCUGGCGGCAGGCCUAACACAUGCAAGUCGAACGGUAACAGGAAGCAGCUUGCUGCUUCGCUGACGAGUGGCGGACGGGUGAGUAAUGUCUGGGAAACUGCCUGAUGGAGGGGGAUAACUACUGGAAACGGUAGCUAAUACCGCAUAACGUCGCAAGACCAAAGAGGGGGACCUUAGGGCCUCUUGCCAUCGGAUGUGCCCAGAUGGGAUUAGCUAGUAGGUGGGGUAACGGCUCACCUAGGCGACGAUCCCUAGCUGGUCUGAGAGGAUGACCAGCCAAACUGGAACUGAGACACGGUCCAGAAUCCUAAGGGAGGCAGCAGUGGGGAAUAUUGCACAAUGGGCGCAAGCCUGAUGCAGCCAUGCCGCGUGUAUGAAGAAGGCCUUCGGGUUGUAAAGUACUUUCAGCGGGGAGGAAGGGAGUAAAGUUAAUACCUUUGCUCAUUGACGUUACCCGCAGAAGAAGCACCGGCUAACUCCGUG